rnacentral:rRNA from 1 species
UACGAAGGGGGCUAGCGUUGCUCGGAAUUACUGGGCGUAAAGCGCACGUAGGCGGCUUUCUAAGUCGGGGGUGAAAUCCUGGAGCUCAACUCCAGAACUGCCUUCGAUACUGGAAAGCUCGAGUCCGGGAGAGGUGAGUGGAACUGCGAGUGUAGAGGUGAAAUUCGUAGAUAUUCGCAAGAACACCAGUGGCGAAGGCGGCUCACUGGCCCGGUACUGACGCUGAGGCACGAAAGCGUGGGGAUCAAACAGG